UACGGAGGGGGCUAGCGUUGUUCGGAAUUACUGGGCGUAAAGCGCACGUAGGCGGCUUUGUAAGUUAGAGGUGAAAGCCCGGGGCUCAACUCCGGAAUUGCCUUUAAGACUGCAUCGCUAGAACGUCGGAGGGGUAAGUGGAAUUCCGAGUGUAGAGGUGAAAUUCGUAGAUAUUCGGAAGAACACCAGUGGCGAAGGCGACUUACUGGACGACUGUUGACGCUGAGGUGCGAAAGCGUGGGGAGCAAACAGG
rnacentral:rRNA from 1 species